GUGAACGCUGGCGGUAGGCCUAACACAUGCAAGUCGAACGGCAGCACCGUAAGAGCUUGCUCUUACGGGUGGCGAGUGGCGGACGGGUGAGGAAUACAUCGGAAUCUACUUUUUCGUGGGGGAUAACGUAGGGAAACUUACGCUAAUACCGCAUACGACCUGCGGGUGAAAGCAGGGGAUCUUCGGACCUUGCGCGAUUGAAUGAGCCGAUGUCGGAUUAGCUAGUUGGCGGGGUAAAGGCCCACCAAGGCGACGAUCCGUAGCUGGUCUGAGAGGAUGAUCAGCCACACUGGAACUGAGACACGGUCCAGACUCCUACGGGAGGCAGCAGUGGGGAAUAUUGGACAAUGGGCGCAAGCCUGAUCCAGCCAUACCGCGUGGGUGAAGAAGGCCUUCGGGUUGUAAAGCCCUUUUGUUGGGAAAGAAAAGCAGCAGGUUAAUACCCCGCUGUUCUGACGGUACCCAAAGAAUAAGCACCGGCUAACUUCGUG
rnacentral:rRNA from 1 species